rnacentral:rRNA from 1 species
ACUGGGUGUAAAGCGCGCGUAGGUGGUUCAGCAAGUUGGAUGUGAAAUCCCCGGGCUCAACCUGGGAACUGCAUCCAAAACUACUGAGCUAGAGUACGGUAGAGGGUGGUGGAAUUUCCUGUGUAGCGGUGAAAUGCGUAGAUAUAGGAAGGAACACCAGUGGCGAAGGCGACCACCUGGACUGAUACUGACACUGAGGUGCGAAAGCGUGGGGAGCAAACAGGAUUAGAUACCCUAGUA